GGAAGGGGCAAGCCNAGUUGGGGGGAAAUAUUUGGGACCAAAUUGGGGCNGCCAAAGCCCUUGAUCCAGCCAUGCCGCGUGAGUGAUGAAGGCCUUAGGGUUGUAAAGCUCUUUCACCGGUGAAGAUAAUGACGGUAACCGGAGAAGAAGCCCCGGCUAACUUCGUGCCAGCAGCCGCGGUAAUACGAAGGGGGCAAGCGUUGCUCGGAAUCACUGGGCGUAAAGCGCACGUAGGCGGUUCGUUAAGUCAGAGGUGAAAUCCNGGAGCUCAACUCCAGAACUGCCUUUCGAUACUGGCGACCUNGAGUUCGAGAGAGGUUGGUGGAACUCCGAGUGUAGAGGUGAAAUUCGUAGAUAUUCGCAAGAACACCAGUGGCGAAGGCGGCCUAACUGGUCUCGAUACUGACGCUGAGGUGCGAAAGCGUGGGGAGCAAACAGGAUUAGAUACCUGGUAGUCCACGCCGUAAACGAUGGAUGCUAGCCGUUGGGGAGCUGCUCUUCAGUGGCGCAGCUAACC
rnacentral:rRNA from 1 species